UACCGUAAAUUUUCAUGGUUAUUAUACUGUCAAACGUGCGCAAUAGGACUCGGCGCAUCGCCAUGUACGCGGCGGUAUUUUGUUAAAAAUUUAAAUUAGCUACCUAUAAUAAACUCGUCCGAAACCUAAUGAUCAUUAGGUUUAUUUCGCAACAAGAUUCUUUCAUAGGCAGAAAAGAAAUGGAGCACUGAACUACUGCAGCCCCCAAGUAGAGCAUAUCGCUUUCCAACGCCAUAACGUUACCCGAGUCGGACUCUGUGUGCUCAUGAUUUCCCCUUAUCAUUAGCUGGAGUUUUGUACACCUUGAACUCUGCAGAGAAAACCAUGCCUCUGGUAAACUCGCAUUCGUUAUCCAGCCAUUGGAGCAUCUGGAUUACCUAUUGGACACGGAUGACAUGCUGAGAUCAUAUUAUGACAUACAUAUUUAGACAAUAUUUAUAAACAGAGAGUUUGAUUGAGAAUCGACCUUGUAUACCUGAGAAAUACUUAAGCCUUUGGAAUGUGAGUCCAUCUUACUGGCCAGUUGCAUGCAAGACAUAAGCUUUAAUUUUGCCUGGCUGGAAAUAGCCUUGCAUAUCUGAGGCCAGCAUGACUCUGUGGGAUCCAUUCCCAUCUUU